UAACGCGUGGGUAACCGUGCCUCACACAGGGGGAUAGCAGUUGGAAACGGCUGCUAAUACCGCAUAAGCGCACAGUACCGCAUGGUACAGUGUGAAAAACUCCGGUGGUGUGAGAUGGACCCGCGUCUGAUUAGCUAGUUGGCAGGGCAACGGCCUACCAAGGCGACGAUCAGUAGCCGACCUGAGAGGGUGACCGGCCACAUUGGGACUGAGACACGGCCCAA
rnacentral:rRNA from 1 species